UACGAAGGGUGCAAGCGUUACUCGGAAUUACUGGGCGUAAAGGGUGCGUAGGUGGUCGUUUAAGUCCGUUGUGAAAUCCCUGGGCUCAACCUGGGAAUGGCAGUGGAUACUGGACGGCUAGAAUGCGGUAGAGGGUAGUGGAAUUCCCGGUGUAGCAGUGAAAUGCGUAGAGAUCGGGAGGAACAUCAGUUGCGAAGGCGGCUCUCUGGACCAGCACUGACACUGAGGCACGAAAGCGUGGGGAGCAAACAGG
rnacentral:rRNA from 1 species